GGAAUUAAAUGCCAGUACGCUGAUGAACUA
rnacentral:piRNA from 1 species